rfam:Lupinus angustifolius cultivar Tanjil contig_1834, whole genome shotgun sequence.
UUAUAGAAUUUAAUUGCGCUUAUAAUGCAUCGGAUCUCAUCAGAACUCCUCAGUCAAGCGGGCUUGGGCGAGAGUAGUUCUAGGAUGGGUGACGUCCUUGGAAGUUCUCGUGUUGCACCGC